UACGUAGGGUGCAAGCGUUUGUCCGGAAUUAUUGGGCGUAAAGAGCUCGUGGGCGGUCUGUCGCGUCGGCUGUGGAAACCCGGGGCUCAACCCCGGGCCUGCAGUCGAUACGGGCAGACUAGAGUGUGGUAGGGGAGACUGGAAUUCCUGGUGUAGCGGUGAAAUGCGCAGAUAUCAGGAGGAACACCGGUGGCGAAGGCGGGUCUCUGGGCCAUAACUGACGCUGAGAAGCGAAAGCAUGGGGAGCGAACAGG
rnacentral:rRNA from 1 species